UACGUAGGGUCCGAGCGUUGUCCGGAAUUAUUGGGCGUAAAGGGCUCGUAGGCGGUUCGUCACGUCGGGAGUGAAAACUCGGGGCUUAACCCCGAGCCUGCUUCCGAUACGGGCAGACUAGAGGUAGGCAGGGGAGAGCGGAACUCCUGGUGUAGCGGUGAAAUGCGCAGAUAUCAGGAGGAACACCGGUGGCGAAGGCGGAUCUCUGGGCCAUAACUGACGCUGAGAAGCGAAAGCAUGGGGAGCGAACAGG
rnacentral:rRNA from 1 species